rnacentral:rRNA from 1 species
GGUUAAGCGACUAAGCGUACACGGUGGAUGCCCUGGCAGUCAGAGGCGAUGAAGGACGUGCUAAUCUGCGAUAAGCGCCGGUAAGGUGAUAUGAACCGUUAUAACCGGCGAUUUCCGAAUGGGGAAACCCAGUGUGACUCGUCACACUAUCAUUAACUGAAUCCAUAGGUUAAUGAGGCGAACCGGGGGAACUGAAACAUCUAAGUACCCCGAGGAAAAGAAAUCAACCGAGAUUCCCCCAGUAGCGGCGAGCGAACGGGGAGGAGCCCAGAGCCUGAAUCAGCAUGUGUGUUAGUGGAAGCGUCUGGAAAGGCGCGCGAUACAGGGUGACAGCCCCGUACACAAAAGCGCAUGUGCUGUGAGCUCGAUGAGUAGGGCGGGACACGUGGUAUCCUGUCUGAAUAUGGGGGGACCAUCCUCCAAGGCUAAAUACUCCUGACUGACCGAUAGUGAACCAGUACCGUGAGGGAAAGGCGAAAAGAACCCCGGCGAGGGGAGUGAAAAAGAACCUGAAACCGUGUACGUACAAGCAGUGGGAGCACCCUUUGGGGUGUGACUGCGUACCUUUUGUAUAAUGGGUCAGCGACUUAUAUUCUGUAGCAAGGUUAACCGAAUAGGGGAGCCGGAGGGAAACCGAGUCUUAAUUGGGCGUUAAGUUGCAGGGUAUAGACCCGAAACCCGGUGAUCUAGCCAUGGGCAGGUUGAAGGUUGGGUAACACUAACUGGAGGACCGAACCGACUAAUGUUGAAAAAUUAGCGGAUGACCUGUGGCUGGGGGUGAAAGGCCAAUCAAACCGGGAGAUAGCUGGUUCUCCCCGAAAGCUAUUUAGGUAGCGCCUCGUGAAUUCAUCUCCGGGGGUAGAGCACUGUUUCGGCUAGGGGGCCAUCCCGGCUUACCAACCCGAUGCAAACUGCGAAUACCGGAGAAUGUUAUCACGGGAGACACACGGCGGGUGCUAACGUCCGUCGUGAAGAGGGAAACAACCCAGACCGCCAGCUAAGGUCCCAAAGUCAUGGUUAAGUGGGAAACGAUGUGGGAAGGCCCAGACAGCCAGGAUGUUGGCUUAGAAGCAGCCAUCAUUUAAAGAAAGCGUAAUAGCUCACUGGUCGAGUCGGCCUGCGCGGAAGAUGUAACGGGGCUAAACCAUGCACCGAAGCUGCGGCAGCGACGCUGAUGCGUUGUUGGGUAGGGGAGCGUUCUGUAAGCCUGUGAAGGUGGCCUGUGAGGGUUGCUGGAGGUAUCAGAAGUGCGAAUGCUGACAUAAGUAACGAUAAAGCGGGUGAAAAGCCCGCUCGCCGGAAGACCAAGGGUUCCUGUCCAACGUUAAUCGGGGCAGGGUGAGUCGACCCCUAAGGCGAGGCCGAAAGGCGUAGUCGAUGGGAAACGGGUUAAUAUUCCCGUACUUGGUGUUACUGCGAAGGGGGGACGGAGAAGGCUAUGUUGGCCGGGCGACGGUUGUCCCGGUUUAAGCGUGUAGGCUGGUUUUCCAGGCAAAUCCGGAAAAUCAAGGCUGAGGCGUGACGACGAGGCACUACGGUGCUGAAGCAACAAAUGCCCUGCUUCCAGGAAAAGCCUCUAAGCAUCAGGUAACAUCAAAUCGUACCCCAAACCGACACAGGUGGUCAGGUAGAGAAUACCAAGGCGCUUGAGAGAACUCGGGUGAAGGAACUAGGCAAAAUGGUGCCGUAACUUCGGGAGAAGGCACGCUGACACGUAGGUGAAGUGAUUUACUCAUGGAGCUGAAGUCAGUCGAAGAUACCAGCUGGCUGCAACUGUUUAUUAAAAACACAGCACUGUGCAAACACGAAAGUGGACGUAUACGGUGUGACGCCUGCCCGGUGCCGGAAGGUUAAUUGAUGGGGUCAGCGCAAGCGAAGCUCCUGAUCGAAGCCCCGGUAAACGGCGGCCGUAACUAUAACGGUCCUAAGGUAGCGAAAUUCCUUGUCGGGUAAGUUCCGACCUGCACGAAUGGCGUAAUGAUGGCCAGGCUGUCUCCACCCGAGACUCAGUGAAAUUGAACUCGCUGUGAAGAUGCAGUGUACCCGCGGCAAGACGGAAAGACCCCGUGAACCUUUACUAUAGCUUGACACUGAACAUUGAGCCUUGAUGUGUAGGAUAGGUGGGAGGCUUUGAAGUGUGGACGCCAGUCUGCAUGGAGCCGGCCUUGAAAUACCACCCUUUAAUGUUUGAUGUUCUAACGUGGACCCGUGAUCCGGGUUGCGGACAGUGUCUGGUGGGUAGUUUGACUGGGGCGGUCUCCUCCUAAAGAGUAACGGAGGAGCACGAAGGUUGGCUAAUCCUGGUCGGACAUCAGGAGGUUAGUGCAAUGGCAUAAGCCAGCUUGACUGCGAGCGUGACGGCGCGAGCAGGUGCGAAAGCAGGUCAUAGUGAUCCGGUGGUUCUGAAUGGAAGGGCCAUCGCUCAACGGAUAAAAGGUACUCCGGGGAUAACAGGCUGAUACCGCCCAAGAGUUCAUAUCGACGGCGGUGUUUGGCACCUCGAUGUCGGCUCAUCACAUCCUGGGGCUGAAGUAGGUCCCAAGGGUAUGGCUGUUCGCCAUUUAAAGUGGUACGCGAGCUGGGUUUAGAACGUCGUGAGACAGUUCGGUCCCUAUCUGCCGUGGGCGCUGGAGAACUGAGGGGGGCUGCUCCUAGUACGAGAGGACCGGAGUGGACGCAUCACUGGUGUUCGGGUUGUCAUGCCAAUGGCACUGCCCGGUAGCUAAAUGCGGAAGAGAUAAGUGCUGAAAGCAUCUAAGCACGAAACUUGCCCCGAGAUGAGUUCUCCCUGAGACUUUAGGUCUCCUGAAGGAACGUUGAAGACGACGACGUUGAUAGGCCGGGUGUGUAAGCGCAGCGAUGCGUUGAGCUAACCGGUACUAAUGAACCGUGAGGCUUAACCUUAC